rnacentral:RNase_P_RNA from 1 species
CGAUGGCAGAUGAUCGCUGGCGAGUCCCGCAUGGCGGGAUUCGCUGGAGGAAAGUCCGAACACCAUACGGCAGCAUGCCGCGUAAAACACGCGGGCAACAUUCGCGAAAGCGGGCGUUGACGGAGAGUGUCACAGAAAAGACACCGCCGGUUCUUUGAGAAAAGCACGGGCAAGGGUGAAAAGGCGAGGUAAGAGCUCACCGCUCGCGGAGUAAUUCGCGAGGCAAGAAAAACCCCAUGCGGUGCAAGAUAAAACAGAGGGAGGGCAGCCGGUCCGAUUUGAUCCUCGGGUAUCGUCGCACCACGAUGCUGUAGCGGCGGUCUAUGACUGCUGAAAACUCAUCGGGCUCUCAGAGAAAUCUGGGAGAGAUAAAUGAUCAUCCGGUCGCCACGGCGACCCGACAGAAUUCGGCUUAUCGCCAUCGAAAC